UACGAAGGGUGCAAGCGUUCCUCGGAAUUACUGGGCGUAAAGCGUGCGUAGGUGGUGAGUUAAGCCUGUCGUGAAAGCCCCGGGCUCAACCUGGGAAUGGCGAUGGAUACUGGCUCGCUAGAGUGCGGUAAAGGAGAGUGGAAUUCCCGGUGUAGCAGUGAAAUGCGUAGAGAUCGGGAGGAACAUCAGUUGCGAAGGCGGCUCUCUGGACCAGCACUGACGCUGAGGAGCGAAAGCCAGGGGAGCAAACGGG
rnacentral:rRNA from 1 species